AUACGUAGGUGACAAGCGUUAUCCGGAUUUACUGGGCGUAAAGGGCGUGUAGGCGGUCUUGCAAGUCAGAAGUGAAAUUCCUGAGCUCAACUCGGGCGCUGCUUCUGAAACUGCAGGACUUGAGUGCUGGAGGGGAUAGCGGAAUUCCUAGUGGAGCGGUAAAAUGCGCAGAUAUUAGGAAGAACACCGGUGGCGAAGGCGGCUAUCUGGACAGUACCUGACGCGGAGGCGCGAAAGCGUGGGGAGCAAACAGGAUUAGAUACCUUGGUAGUCCACGCCGUAAACGAUGAAUACUAGGUGUAGGGGGUAUCGACUCCCUCUGUGCCGCAGUUAACACAAUAAGUAUUCCGCCUGGGGAGUACGGCCGCAAGGUUGAAACUCAAAUGAAUUGGCGGGG
rnacentral:rRNA from 1 species